GAUGAACGCUGGCGGCGUGCCUAAUACAUGCAAGUCGAGCGAACAGACGAGGAGCUUGCUCCUCUGACGUUAGCGGCGGACGGGUGAGUAACACGUGGAUAACCUACCUAUAAGACUGGGAUAACUUCGGGAAACCGGAGCUAAUACCGGAUAAUAUAUUGAACCGCAUGGUUCAAUAGUGAAAGACGGUUUUGCUGUCACUUAUAGAUGGAUCCGCGCCGCAUUAGCUAGUUGGUAAGGUAACGGCUUACCAAGGCAACGAUGCGUAGCCGACCUGAGAGGGUGAUCGGCCACACUGGAACUGAGUCACGGUCCAGACUCCUACGGGAGGCAGCAGUAGGGAAUCUUCCGCAAUGGGCGAAAGCCUGACGGAGCAACGCCGCGUGAGUGAUGAAGGUCUUCGGAUCGUAAAACUCUGUUAUUAGGGAAGAACAAAUGUGUAAGUAACUAUGCACGUCUUGACGGUACCUAAUCAGAAAGCCACGGCUAACUACGU
rnacentral:rRNA from 1 species